AUGGGCGCGCAUAGGAGCGGGCAUGUGCCACGGGGUCAAUCCGAGGAGCUCAGUGGCUACCCCUGCAAUGGCCAUGGCGGACGGCGGUUCUCGGCCAUGGUGAAAUACCUAACGAGAGCAAACGAGAGGAGAAACUGGGGAAAGGCAAGAGGAGAUCACGACGGUGUUAAUGUCACCCUAGGGGAAGACAGGGGAGCUCAGGGCGGCAUGGAUCGAACGGCAAUGUCGCGGUGGCCGAAGGUUGAGGAAGAUGGCAACGACGUCGAUCUAGGGGUGCUGGACUUAAUCUCGUUGGCGCAGACGAAGUAG
rnacentral:rRNA from 1 species